GAUGAACGCUGGCGGCGUGCCUAAUACAUGCAAGUCGAGCGAACAGAUAAGGAGCUUGCUCCUUUGACGUUAGCGGCGGACGGGUGAGUAACACGUGGGUAACCUACCUAUAAGACUGGGAUAACUUCGGGAAACCGGAGCUAAUACCGGAUAACAUUUGGAACCGCAUGGUUCUAAAGUGAAAGAUGGUUUUGCUAUCACUUAUAGAUGGACCCGCGCCGUAUUAGCUAGUUGGUAAGGUAACGGCUUACCAAGGCAACGAUACGUAGCCGACCUGAGAGGGGGGAUCGGCCCACCGGGAAACGAGACCGGGUCCAGACCCCCAGGGGAGGCAGCAGUAGGGAAUUUUCCGGAAGGGGCGAAAGCCUGACGGAGAAACGCCGCGUGAGGGAUGAAGGGUUUCGGCCCGUAAAACUCUUUUAUUAGGGAAAAAAAAACGUGAAAGUAACUGUGCACGUCUUGACGGUACCAAAUCAGAAAGCCACGGCUAACUACGG
rnacentral:rRNA from 1 species